UUUCACAAUACUACAUUAUAUACAUAUUUCUCUCCCAUUUUCACUAUUUAUUACAACUCAUUACGAAUCAAAUAUGCAGUGGACACCGGUUGAAGAUAUAUUAGUUUAACUAGAGCUUAGAUCAAGAAAAUUCCCAAAGGUCGAGAACUUUUUGGAAAAUAGUUGUUAAUUUGUUUUUGAAUUUGGAAAAUCAAUAAAUCGGUUAUCGUACCGAUGACGCCAUUAUCGCUAGAUGGCGCCGUAUGCGCAUCUCUAUUCACUCAUUCAACACAAUUUUCAAACGUUUGCACAAUCUUCCUAACAAGACAAGAAUCGAAAAUGCGUUGGUCAUAUAGAGCAACACAAAGAGGAGCAUUUAAUCACAUGGAGGCAUGGGAGUUGCUAAAAAGAUGCCCAAAGUUUGAAUAAUAGCUAUGUCUUGUCGUAUUUGCGUAUGCUUGCAUCGUAGUAUUGUAUUUCGUAUUUUCGAAUUUCAAUAAUAGUUAUCUCGUGUUGUAUUUCGUAUUCAAGUGUUUGAAUAAUAGUUAUGUCAUGUUGUAUUUCGUAA